GACGAACGCUGGCGGCGUGCUUAACACAUGCAAGUCGAACGGAAAGGCCCCUUUGGGGGUACUCGAGUGGCGAACGGGUGAGUAACACGUGAGUAACCUGCCCUUGACUUCGGGAUAACUUCAGGAAACUGGGGCUAAUACCGGAUAGGAAUCCUUGCUGCAUGGUGGGGGUUGGAAAGCUUCGGCGGUUUUGGCUGGACUCGCGGCUUAUCAGCUUGUUGGUGGGGUAGUGGCUUACCAAGGCUUUGACGGGUAGCCGGCCUGAGAGGGCGACCGGCCACAUUGGGACUGAGAGACGGCCCAGACUCCGACGGGAGGCAGCAGUGGGGAAUAUUGCACAAUGGGCGGAAGCCUGAUGCAGCAACGCCGCGUGCGGGAUGACGGCCUUCGGGUUGUAAACCGCUUUCAGCAGGGGCGAAGCUUGUGGUGACGGUACCUGCAGAAGAAGCACCGGCUAACUACGUG
rnacentral:rRNA from 1 species